rnacentral:rRNA from 1 species
AGUGAACGCUGGCGGUAGGCCUAACACAUGCAAGUCGAACAGCAGCACAGUAAGAGCUUGCUCUUACGGGUGGCGAGUGGCGGACGGGUGAGGAAUACAUCGGAAUCUACUUUUUCGUGGGGGAUAACGUAGGGAAACUUACGCUAAUACCGCAUACGACCUACGGGUGAAAGCAGGGGAUCUUCGGACCUUGCGCGAUUGAAUGAGCCGAUGUCGGAUUAGCUAGUUGGCGGGGUAAAGGCCCACCAAGGCGACGAUCCGUAGCUGGUCUGAGAGGAUGAUCAGCCACACUGGAACUGAGACACGGUCCAGACUCCUACGGGAGGCAGCAGUGGGGAAUAUUGGACAAUGGGCGCAAGCCUGAUCCAGCCAUACCGCGUGGGUGAAGAAGGCCUUCGGGUUGUAAAGCCCUUUUGUUGGGAAAGAAAAGCAGCAGGUUAAUACCCCGCUGUUCUGACGGUACCCAAAGAAUAAGCACCGGCUAACUUCGU